CACGCGUACAAACUAAGUUAAAAAAACACAAGAAAGACAUAACUGGCUGUGAGUACAACACGCACGCGUGGUUGAAACACAACAAACUUUGAAACAAACCAGAUCGCACGCUUCCUCCAUCUUCCAGAUCUGUUAAUAUCCUUAGUUGGGUUUUGGAUUGGACGCAAAGCUCCGGUGGUUGAAAUGGCCGGCGAUGCAUUUCAACUCCGAUGUCAGUCAGUGGUCAAAUAUGUAGAUUGAAAUUCUCUCACCAGGUCUUUGUCCGAGGACGUUUUAGUAUACCUUGCCCUAGUUCUAGAUGUUGCGACGGGCCCUAGUAAUCCGGAGUUCAGCCAGGCCCUAUUAAUCCCUAGUAAUCGAACUCAAAUUCAGGUUCUCUUUAAGAUUUGUUAUAGGGCGAGCUCAUUAACUACUUGUGUUCAAUCACUUGGUUUUGAAUAAUAUAACAUUAUAAACCAAGUUAUUUGAUCCAAAUAUGGUUUAUGAUAGAACACUAUGGGCUAUGGCGUACUUUGAUCCAUGUAGCCGACCCCACUUAGUAGGAUAAGGCUUGGUGGUUGUUGUAUUUAUUUAAUUUCUCCCAUAUUCAAACUAUACCAAAUGAAUAAAUGUCAAAAUAUUGACUUGAAUCUAUAUACUUUUUUUUAUAGAAUAAAUAUUCAUUGAUUAAAUUGUAAUUUACUUGAUAAUGAUACUUAUAGUUUAACUAGAAACAAACAUGACAAGUAUGUACCUUUUCUCUUGGCAUACAACCUAAAGCGCCGCCUUCCUUUUCCUGCCUUUGAUGUACACUGAUUUUAUUGCAUUAAAGGUGAAAUCAACACAAUAAAUUUGUGGUAGAAAAGAUAAUAGGAAAGAGAGGAUAUGAAAACGAUAAAAAAAACUUCACCCACAGCCCCUACAUACCAAAUUGGUGAAAAUAUUACUCACAUCUUUGCCUGUAGGCCUAGUCGUUUUGACUACCAAACUGAUGAACUGUUCAAACAAAGCAGCUCCAAAACUCAUGUUUAGAGCCAUAUAGACUAGACAAGCAAUCAUCUCCUCUUCAGUCGAUGGAUGAAAGUCGCCGAAGCCAACAGUUGUGUAUAUCGUUGUGACGAAAUACACGGAAGUGACAUAUCUCCUCCAUAACUCUAGCUUAAAAAUUUUUUCCCUUCCAUUGGUCCACGACAGCUGCGCGUCAACGUCUGCUGAAGCAAGUAGGUAAAAUAUGCAUGCCCACGCGUGUAUAUGAAGAAGGACAAGCUAUAUAAAUAUAGAUAUACUGUUAGUCUAUUUUCUGUCAAUAAAUCUUAUUCUAUUUUAAAAUUUGAUAAACAUAAUAUGCCAAAUACUUACACUCAUAAGCUUCACACACCGAAUCCAAAAGAAACAUAUUGGGUUUGGGGUUUCUUCCAUCCUGUACAAAAAAGAAAAUUUUAUCAUAAAAUAAACAAAAAUAAAAUAUUCAUAAAAAAUGGAAACACUCUCAUAGUGUACUGAUAUCCUAAAUUUGUAGAUACACAUCUAAGACCUUAAAUAUCAAAGUCCACAGUAUUAAAUUAAGACUUGGAUCUUUUAUUGGCAGUAUUGGAAAAUACACUCUUAACAUGUUUGUGACACAAAUCAUAAUCAAGAGUCUUUAAGGAGUAUUUAUCGUCGUGGUUUCAGAAGAGGGGAGACCGACAUUGUUUGGUCACGAUGGUGUGGUGCGUAUCUCAUUUGGUGAUGACCACAUAAGAUACAAUUCUCUCUCUUUCUUUUGUAUGAGUAACAUACUGAAAAAUUAACUGGGGUAAGACUUGACGACGGCUGAACUGCCCAUAAAAAAAGGACUUUGAGCCUUGCUCUGGAUACAAUGUUCAACAGUUUAGAAUGACUUUGUAUUUCACAAUGUAAAAUUCAUAAAGUUCAUAGAAGAUUUCUAACCACCUUUUUUUUUAUCAAUAUCUGAUUCUCACUGAAUGAAUAGAAACAUUUACAAGUAGCUUUAUAUAGCAAUAAAACCCCAAAUUAUAAAGCUCAACUUUAUAAGCCCCCACCAAGAACACUAUAUUUUAGACCUCCUUGUGGAGAUAAUAUUUUAAGCCCUAACCCACUAUUUUUCUACUUAUUUGCAGGAUUAGUGUGAAAGGCUUUGAGGCCCACUUAUGUAUUAUUAUUGAAAGAAAAAAAACAUAAAGCAAUUGUUUUAAAUUUUUUUAUGAUUAAUUAAAAUUAUAAAUUUAUCACAGCACUGUCUAGAUAUCAGACCACCGUCGGUCUGCCGCCAUGAGUCAUCGGUGCUCCAGCUUUCACCGGUGCCCUGUCAGUUUUUUUCUUUUGAAAAAUAAUAUUUUUUAAACUUUUUUUUGACUAAAAGUGUCUAGUUAGCUUAGCUUAGUUAUUAGUGUAUCCCAACUAUGUACGGUGACCGACACAUGUCAGUUUUGUAAAAUACAUAACAUCCCUCAUACACAAUGAUGUUGGGUAAACUUGUAUACAUAACAUCAUUGUAAAAUACUAUAACUAAGCUGUGAUAACUGUACACUUUUUGUAAAAAAAAAGGUUAUUUACUUAUCUCUAAUUCUCUCUUGGAAACUUAUUUAUUUAUUUUUUUGAAAGAAAAGAAUUGGAUUAGUUGUUAAGGUCAGAUACUAAUUGGGCCUUGGCAGCCGUUGGUAAAUCCUCUAUCCAAAUUCUAUCAGGUUCAACAUAAGCAUGUUGAGACAAAACAGGGUCAAGAUCCUCUCCAUUUAUAACUUUUUCCAUUUGUUGCAAUUUGGAGAGAGAUAGACACAUAUAAAAUAAUGAUGGUGGGAUCCACUUAGUGAUAGGACCCACCACUUAUUUUUUUGUGUCUAUCUCUCUUCAAAUUGCAACAAAUGGAAAAAGUUAUAAAUGGAGAGGAUCUUUACCCGACAAAACAUGGGCCAGUUUGUUGCUAAACCUACCUGUAUGACUAAAAGUGGCCAUUUCAAACAAGGAUAAUCUACAUUUAAUGCCAAACACGAUGUUACCAACAUAUGUUUUGGGAAUAUCAAGGGUUCCUCUCAUGAUUUUCAUCAAAGUUUCACUAUCUCCUUCAAAUUCCACUCUCUGAAAGCGUCAUUCCACCGCGAGGUUCACUUAUAGAGAGCCACUGCUUCCGCCCGUUAGACUUCCAUGUCGCCGAUGCCAGGAUCUCACCGUCAUCAUCAAACGAGCAACAGCCCCCAUACCCCAGGGUUAUUAAGUAAACGAGCAUUACUGUGGUUUUGGUGCAGAUUCGAGAUCUGAUUGGUAGCCUUUUUGAAGUUAGUGAUGCUGAGAUCUGCUUGGUGUAUUGUCAUCUCCUCCGGUGCUUUUCUCCACCGCUGCAAAGACUCCGCCUACGCCACACCGAAGCACCGUGAACAACCAAUACUGAUUCUCACACUCCACAGGUACCAGAAGAAUGAGUCCUAUUUCCAGUCCUCCUAUAUCUAGCAAUGAAUACUCAAGGACCCAAAAUGGCAUCUUGCAAUGAAUACUGAAUAUGAUACCUUACUAGCAAAUAAUACUUGGUCUCUAGUCUCCUAAUAGGCAAGCUAUAGAUUGCAAGUUGGUUUUCGGGGUCAAGGAGAAUCCUUAUGGGAGUAUUAAUAAGUAUAAAGCAUGUCUGGUUGCAAAGAGGUUCCAUAAAAAGUUGUGAAACUAGUAACUGUGAGGAUUGUUCUCACUCUUACAGUGACGAAGAAUUGGGCAAUUCAACAACUAAAACAUCAACAAUGCUUAAUGAAGUUUAUAUGAUUCAGCCACGGCUUUGAAUCAAGUAAUAAUUCACUUGUUUGUACGCUACACAAAGCUCUCAAUAGGCUCAAACAGGCUCUGCAUAGCGUGGUUUGAAAGACUAAAGGCUGAAUUACUUAAAUUUGGUUUUAAAUAAAGCAAAUGUAAUCCAUCUCUCUUUAAUCUUCA